UACGUAGGGUGCAAGCGUUGUCCGGAAUUAUUGGGCGUAAAGAGCUCGUAGGCGGUCUGUCGCGUCUGCUGUGAAAACUCAGGGCUUAACCCUGAGCUUGCAGUGGGUACGGGCAGACUAGAGUGCGGUAGGGGAGACUGGAAUUCCUGGUGUAGCGGUGAAAUGCGCAGAUAUCAGGAGGAACACCGGUGGCGAAGGCAGCUCGCUGGAACGGUACUGACGCUGAGGCGCGAAAGCGUGGGGAGCGAACAGG
rnacentral:rRNA from 1 species